AUUGAACGCUGGCGGCAGGCUUAACACAUGCAAGUCGAGCGGGGUGAUGGUGCUUGCACUAUCACUUAGCGGCGGACGGGUGAGUAAUGCUUGGGAAUCUGCCUAUUAGUGGGGGACAACAUCUCGAAAGGGAUGCUAAUACCGCAUACGUCCUACGGGAGAAAGCAGGGGAUCACUUGUGACCUUGCGCUAAUAGAUGAGCCUAAGUCGGAGUAGCUAGGUUGGUGGGGUAAAGGCCUACCAAGGCGACGAUCUGUAGCGGGUCUGAGAGGAUGAGCCGCCAGACUGGGCCUGGGGCACGGCCCAGACUCCUACGGGGGGCAGCAGUGGGGAAUAUUGGACAAUGGGGGGAACCCUGAUCCAGCCAUGCCGCGUGUGGGAAGAAGGGCUUAUGGUUGUAAAGCACUUUAAGCGAGGAGGAGGCUCUUUUGGUUAAUACCCAAGAUGAGUGGACGUUACUCGCAGAAUAAGCACCGGCUAACUCUGUGCCAACAGCCGCCGCUG
rnacentral:rRNA from 1 species